UACUGACANUGAGGUGCGAAAGCGUGGGAGCAANCAGGAUUAGAUACCCUGGUAGUCCACGCCGUAAACGAUGUCUANUAGCCGUUGGGUUGUAAUGACUUAGUGGCGCAGCUAACGCAAUAAGUAGACCGCNUGGGGAGUACGGCCGCAAGGUUAAAACUCAAAUGAAUUGACGGGGGCCCGCACAAGCGGUGGAGCAUGUGGUUUAAUUAGACGCAACGCGAAGAACCUUACUUACUCUUGACAUCCAGAGAAUUCGCUAGAGAUAGCUUAGUGCCUUCGGGAACUCUGAGACAGGUGCUGCAUGGCUGUCGUCAGCUCGUGUUGUGAAAUGUUGGGUUAAGUCCCGUAACGAGCGCAACCCUUAUCCUUAUUUGCCAGCACUUCGGGUGGGAACUUUAAGGAGACUGCCGGUGACAAACCGGAGGAAGGUGGGGACGACGUCAAGUCAUCAUGGCCCUUACGAGUAGGGCUACACACGUGCUACAAUGGCGUAUACAGAGGGCUGCGAGCUAGCGAUAGUGAGCGAAUCCCAGAAAGUACGUCGUAGUCCGGAUUGGAGUCUGCAACUCGACUCCAUGAAGUCGGAAUCGCUAGUAAUCGUGGAUCAGAAUGCCACGGUGAAUACGUUCCCGGGCCUUGUACACACCGCCCGUCACACCAUGGGAGUUGAUUGCUCCAGAAGUAGCUAUGCUUAACCCUUUCGGGGAUGGCGGUAUUCUAGAAGUGCC
rnacentral:rRNA from 1 species